ACUUUUUUCUACGUGACAGACACAACACAGCAUGUAAAUCGUUUGUUUUACUACAGGAAAAGGACUUGGCAGUGGCUUCAUGUUAAAGCUUUAGCAGGUUUGUUUUACUACAGGAAAAGAACUUGGCAGUGGCUUCAUGUUAAAGCUUUAGCAGGUUUGCAUUUUAUUCUGAUGAGAAGAAAAGCAAUAUUCUGAGAAAGAAAAAAUAAGAAUGAAUAUAAUACCGAUGUAAAAAAUGAGAUGUGGAGUAUAAGACCAUGAAAUGGCAAGCCAACAAUGAGGAAAAGACAUCUGGAGUCAACAUUCAGCCCUACAGUAGACAAGUGUCUUUACAAAUUACUAUUUAAAUUGCCAAGUUUUAGAAAAGUUGUGAAUACAUUCUUAUCUUAACAGGGAAAAAGUGAUGAAUUUAAAUCAUAUUUUAUAAAUGCGUAUACUCAUAAUAAUGUAUUAGAUGAAGUUUAAAUUAUUUAGUUUUCUACAAAGCAAAUUGAAGCUAUGAUGAAUUCAAAAACAAGAAUGAUGUUUCUGUUGUAAAUUUUUUUAUAUUUCAAUGAGGAAGCUGUUUAUUUGAAUUUUUAGCAAUCCCUCUUGCAUUUUGCUAUAAGUUGAUCACACUUUAAAUCCUUUUUGUUUUUUAACUGCAGAUUUAAAGAAGAGGAAUAUAAUUAAACUUAUGACAGAGGUUAGUCAGCUAUACUUAGAAAUUUAAGAUGAUGGUUCCAUUUGUCAAAUAAUUCAUGAACAUCAUAUGUUUUGAGAAAAGGAUAUUGUGAAUAUAAUAUACCUGAUAUCCAACUAAUAAGUAAAAGUUACCGAUUAAGGUAGAUAGGGUGUCUUCCUCCAUCUUGGAUUUUGAAAUACUAGAAAACAAGGUCUAGAUCUUUGAUGAAAUGUGCAAAUUUUUAUAGUAGUAGGUAAUUCAUGUGUAAGAAUUUUCAUUAUAAUUUAGAAAAUGCCAUGUUUGAUCAUAUUUAUGAUUUUAUUUUACAAAAAAAAGAAUUCUUUUGUUUGAUUCAUUUUUUUCCAACUUUGUCAAAUAAGGGGAGGCAACUCAAAUGCAAGGGCAGAUAAUUCAGAUAGAGUUACUUUUACAACAGAAUGUGUUAGGAAUUUAUCCAUUUUUACAUGUAGCAAGAAAACGAGUCCGGUGACCCCAUUUUUGGGGAAAGACGGCUUCAAGCCGUCAAUUCCCUAAUGGGGUUGGCCAGAGUAUCAUUCCCUCAUGUCAAUCAUUUUGUUUUGAUAGUUUGGAAACCCCCUAAAAAUGUCAUACUGAAAUUGAUGACAAGGAGAACAGAUUGACUUUAAAUACAUUUUUUACACAUUUCCCUUCUGUUUCUCAUGAAAUUAUCGUAUAUUGAGCUUUCCCUUACACUAUAUACGUUUCUUUUACAGUCCGGAAAAAUCAGUAUUACGAAAUAUUUUAAAUAUAUCUAACCUAGUGACGUCAUUGUUGGAAUGCCACACUACACAGGGAUAUCCUUUAUUCAGAAUCAUUAUAAAAAUCAUUCACAGUACUUGUAUACUGAUUUAAAAUCCGUAUUUGUUAAAUAUAAACCUAAUGAUGUUUGCUGUAGUGUAGAUGAUUCACACACCAACAUGAAGUGCUUGAAUCUGAGGCUAUAAUCAGAUAAUAUGUAGGUCAACUUUCGCGGUAAACAAUGUCAAUGGGGAUACAUGAGAUUGGGGAGAGAAACGGCAGUUUUCAUUGUUUCUGUAAAGUUCUGUUUUUAGAAUCUUCCUCCAAUUCAGGAGCACCUCAAUUGAUGAGUAAUUUUACACUAAAAUCAAAGUAAAUGUUUCUGAACAUUUAAAAUGUGACAUUUAGUAUAUGAUAAGUAGUCUUCUAUAUAAAAAAAAAUGUGUACCAACAUAAUUAUUGAAAUGGUUAAAAAAAAAAAAAAAAAGUUGCUUUUUGUUGUUUAUACCUAUUGAGAUUGGGGAGAGCAACUGCAGUUUUCAUUUUUUCUGUAAAGUUAUGUUUUUAGAAUCUUUCUCCAAUUAAGGAGCACCUCAAUAGAUAAGUAAUUACCCACUAAAAUGAAAGUUAAUGUAUAUGAACACUAAAAAUGUCACAUUAAGUAUAUAUAUGAUAAGUAGUCAUCAAUUAAAAAAAUAAUUUUGCAUACCAACAUAAUUAUUGUAGUGGUCAUUUUUUUCUCAUUUUUUUUUAAAUACUGCUUUUUGUAGUUUAAAACUAUUUAUUCAUGAAUUUUACAGAAAUAUCAAAAUGUGGGAUGUGGAAACAAACUUCACAUAGCUUUUAUAUCAAUCAUAUUUGAUUUUAUAAGUACAUUUAUCAUAUGUUUAGUGGUAAAUACAGUAGUUUUGCAUAUGUGAUAAAUAGCCUGCUGUUUAAUCCAUAUCGCGCAACUUUGAUGCGCACCCUUUAUCGCAUACCCUUUAUCGCAUACCCUUUAACACACCCCUACCCUUUAUCACACCCCUGGUUUUUUUUUUUUGCUUAAGACAAAUUUUCCUCAAAAUAGGUAAGUUUUUUGAAUGACGUCAUUGUUUGGUAUGUGACGUCACGAACGUCGAGUUUUCACACUGUAUGUGACAUCACGAACGUCAAGUUUUCAUAUUUUUUGGCACACUAAAUGAAACUAUGAAAAAUACAAAACACACAAAUUAAUACAAUAAUAAACAAAAAUAUUUAAAAACAACAGCACGCAAAUUGUAAGGUAACCCAGGUGCUUCGAAUAAGUAAUUGAGCAGUUCUUUUAAGGCCUUUGAAACAAGACAAAAGUAGAACUGAAGGUAAUCCAGUGCUAUGGAUCAGAAAACAGUUCAUACAAUAUAAUACUCUUCUGUUGAAAUAUAUGAUAAAGCGUAUAAUACAUGGCAAAAUCAUUCAUGUCAUUAUCACAUGCCGUAUCACCCUCGACCAAUAUCAUCCCUCGGGCCUAAAAGCCCUUGGGCUGAUAUUGAUGUCUCGGGAUGAUACGACAUAUGAUACGGAUUUUUCCAUGUAUUAUUCUCUAUGUAUCCCUGUGAUGAGAGUUGUAACUGGGAACUUUAUCAGUGGAAAAUUAAAACUGAAUAGAUUUUUCAGUCCUCACUUUCUUGAGAAUAUUGUCACAAAAAAUUGAGAAUAGUCUUAGCCUGCCGUUCAGUUGUACAUAAUUACAAUUUUAAAAUAUAAUGUAGUAGUUGUUAAAUUCAAUUGGAUUUUAGAUAAUUAACUCCCAACUUAAAUCAAAUGUUUUGAUUUAGAAGGUGCAGAUCUCAUUGGUCCAAAUUGUCUCUAUGAUGAAUUCUUGACUAAGGAAAUGAAAUAACAAUAAACAACAAUUAGUUUCAUUAUUGUCAGCCUUUCUAUAUGUUCUAGCUGUUCUUUUGCUCAUUCUUUGUAUGUAGACUAUCAAAAGAUACCCCCUAAAAAUUGGAACAAUGGCCGUCUUUUCCCUUCAGAGCUCUUCAGCUCUUUGAUUUCUUUUUCUUAUCUGAAAGCAUAAUAUUGGAGCUAUCUUCUCAUAUUUUAUCUCAAAAUUCUAUGGUGUGGUUUGCGUUUUAUGGCGGAAAAUUGGGUUUUCUAUGCAUAAUCUAUGCAAAAUCUUGACAAUUUUGUACAACCUGUAGUGUGAAAAUAAGUCCGGUGACCCAUUCUUUUUAUUAAUGUUUUUAAACUAGCAGGUUAUGAACUACAUUUUGGCAAAUUAUUAAAAGAUUCUAUGGAUUAUAAUUUAGACACCCCAUCUACCUUAAGAACAGACUUAAUAGUAUGAACACUUCAGUUCUCUUUGUAUUUGAAGGAUAGUGCUCAACAGCUGAUAGCAGAGAGACAGUCACUUGGUGUAGCCACCUUGCGUUUUUUUCCAAAGUCUAAAGGACUUCGACCUAUUAUAAAUUUAGGACGGCAGCAGACACUGUUUGGAACACCAGUAAGUUCUUUCUUGAAUGGUUAUUUUCUACCUGGUUCCUGUUCUGCAUCUAUCCAAACAGUCUUGUUGACCCUCUUGAAUGAACAUUUGUAUGGAAAACCAGUAAAUAAGUUCUCCCUUAAAUGUUAACUAGAACUCACCCACAAAAUCAUGGUCAUUAAGAGCGUUGUUGAAAGUAUGUUAACUGUUGUAGGAUGAAUUUUCAAGUGUAAAAGAUUUAUGACUGGAGAAUUUCAGGAAAGGUAUUAAAAUUAAAGUCAUAGGUACUUGGAGACAGGACAAUUUUUUUAGCCCACUUUCUUUUUUCAAAAGUCAGUUAUUUUUUGUUUUCUAUUUAUUUCAAUUAUUUUUCCACUUUCUGUAUAUAUAAUUGUACAUUAGAGAUAAAGUAUAUUUGCAAUUUCCUAAGUAUCAAGUCUAUCAAUUCUAAGUUCAUUAUCCACGGCGGUCACUGAUAUAUUAUAUUGAGAGUCUCUGUAUAUUAUAGUAUAGUGUACAUGCAGAUAAACGCAAAAAUAAUUGACUUGUCCCCCGAAUAUUUAAUAACUGGAAGUGUGAAACAACCUUGACUGGCUAUACAGCCCUUGCACGGUCGGGAGUAUUUUAAGAUAUGAAAAGUAUGUGUUAUUUAAAACAGUCAUAAACGUAAGUCUUGUCUAUGACUUAACAGUCUGUCUGAUGACGGAAACAAUAUCAUGAUGACGCCUUAAUUUUCGUUUUUUUCCCAAAAUAACCCAAACUGAAUAAUAAUAAGAAUGGAUGACAAAUGCACCUAUGCGUGGUACCUAUAGGACACAGAGGCAUGAUGAUUAACUUAUUGUGGAAAAAGAAGAGAAGCGACACACAAAACGAGGUCUUCUUGUUUAAUAGUGUAGAUGUAAGAAAGAAUAUAGACCUUACAUUCUAGAAGUUGAGUGCUGAGUUUUGAUAAAGAAGUUGAUAGCAAAAAAGACAUAAUGAACUUUCAAUUAUGGCUUUAAGGGGAUUGUCAACAUGUUGAACUCGCAUGCUUGUUUAUUGGUUAUUUUAAAACAUAUGUUCUACAAACUCUAUGUUUAAAGUUAUUUGCUUCUUGCAAUUGAUAAGUUGUAUAAAAAGUAUUGUUGAAUUGAAUGUUGAAAUACUAUUGUGUAAUGUAACUUAAGUGUGAACUUAUUGGAUUAACUUUGUUUUGAAUACAAGUUAUUUAACUGAAGAAAUUUAUUGCUGAAAAUUAGACUGGUUUUGGCAGUCAAUCAUAAGAUGAAAACUAACUGGUAGCCAAUUGUUUGUUGACUAUGUGUUCUUCACAUUCUUGAAAUUGAAGUGAUAUUGAAAGAUUAAAUCAAGCCUUUAUUAUAUUGAUUGAUACUUCAAAUUUAUUUAUGUCUGUCUCAUAGUAGCAGGUUAUAUGUUUUCUGGUUUGUGCCUAUGUUUGAUAUUCACACAAGUUUAUACAAUUCAUAUCUUAUCAAAGCUUGUAGAGAUUAGGUCUUUAAAAUGUAAAAAAUGUACAUGUAUAUUUCAUGUCUCCUUACUUUGUCUUAAUUUUCAUGCCUACCCCAGCACAUUUUGAUGGUUUUGUGGAUACUUUCGUUAAACAUCACUGUUACACAUUUUUGGUUCAGCACUCUUCUAUUCCAGAACAUUACCCUAUAUAGUUUAUGUACAAUAUAAAGAACAAAUAAAAUCAUUUUGCUUACCUACUAACCCACCUAUAUAUAAAGAAUAUAUUUUUGUGCUUGUGUAAUAUUAAACUUAAUAUGAUUUAUGGUAAUUUUCAGGGUCUACCUAUUAAUAAACAGCUGCUGAACUUGCUCCAAGUUUUAUCAUUGAUAAAGGUAAUUAUUUAAGGAAUGACUGUUAUAUUUUUUCUGUCUAUGAAGAAAUAACAUAAAAAAUGUGGUGCACACUAAAUAACGCGUGUAGCGGGUUAUUUAACAGUGCGCACCACAUUUUUUAUGUUAUUUCGAAUAGACUGACAAUAUUACAGUUAUUUCUUAUAAUUUAAUUCUAUAUUCCAUUUUAAACCGGCAUAAAUCAUGAAAAACGUCAAGGUCACAUGACACAAUUGUGUCUAUGAUAUGAUAAACAAAACGAUGUCAGCCAAUCAGAAGACAUGUUACAUCCAAAAUUAAAUUAUUACUAAAUAGAAAUGCAAGUGUUACAGUUACACUCAAACUCAAGAAUGGUAUACUAAAUACAAAGUGGUAGUAGUAUAUUCUACAAUGACCCUGUAUGUAGGUCAAUUUGUCUGUAGUUUUUAUGGUCUGUGCAUCUGUUUGUUUGUUUGUCCAUCUGUCCCACUUCAGGUUAAAGUUUUUGGUCAAGAUAGUUUUUUAAUGAAGUUGAACUAUCAGUACAAAUGGUCUCUAUGAUAUAACUAAAUUUCUAAUUGAAAUGCCAAAUUAGAAUUUUGACCUCAUUUUAAAAGUCCACUGAACAUAGAAAUGAUAGUGUGAGUUGGGCAUUCGUUCCCUAUGGACACAUUCUUGUUAUCUUAUAUAUUACUUAAAUUUGAAUUCUGUAUUAAGGAAUGAUUUGAUAUUCAGUUUAAAACUUCAUAAUGUGUAAGAAUUUUCUGACUUGCAAGGCAGGCUAAUCCUAUAGUUACUACUUGAAAUUUUGUUCUACUAGCAAAGUUUCUGUCUAAAACAAUUUGAUAAUGCUUUAUAUGACAUUUCUUGUAAACAUUUGCUAAUACCUGUUAAAUGGCUUGAAUAAAUUCACAUCUAACUUUCAAUACCAUUUUGUUUUUUCUGUGGACUAGAAUCUGGCAGAGUCCAUUGAAAAGCAAUAGAAGCAAACUUUCAUUUGAUUGGUUUUGAUUUAUUCAAAGACAUCACAAAUUGUUUUGUAUUAUGUAUUUGUGUAUAUGUGUUUACCAUGAAAACUUGUACUACCUAAGAGCUAUGUCAAGUAGAAUUGAAAUAUAAAGAUGUGAGCUUGAUUAAACUCUGUUCAUACCACAUACCUGCCAACUUUUGAAAAUGGCCAUGGGGGUUUUUGUGCGCGGCACCAUUUUUUAGGGUAGAAUUUUUCGCGGCAUUUUUUUGUGUGAUGAUUUUGCUCCUAAGUGUCUGACAUACUGCUUUUUUGGGGGGUGAUAGUUGAAGAUGCUAUUAUAUCCUAUCUUUUUUUAAAUUGUUUGAUUGUUGUAUUCUUUUUUGUUGAGAUAAACACCAGUAAGAUGACUUAUGUUUGUCUGAUACAUUGUCAAGAAAUAAAAAAAAAGUAAUAAUUUUAAUAAUUUAAUAACAAAAAAAAAACAACAAUAUAUGAGGGUCUGGAAGGGGGGAGGGGGGGGGGGUCUGUUGUUCUGUAAACAUUUAAUUUUCACCCCUUUUUUCUCUAAUCUUCAAAAAAUUAACCUCUUUUUUCUCUAAUCUUCAAAAACUUCUCAAAUUUUUUUUGCCCGUUAUUCUCUUAUUUUCAUUUUUUAAGGGCAUUAUAUUCUCUAAUAAAUUUAACCCCAUCCAAACCCUCAUAUAUUAUAUAGAUCAAUAUCACAAGAAGUACUAGAAUGUUUGGAGACAUUAUUAAGGCCACCGUGGUCAACUUUAAAGUCUCUGUUGCAAACUUUACAAAAGGCAUGUGACAAUCCUAAUGUUGAUUUAGACAACCAGCCCCUGUACUUCACAUCAUUCUCCCAUUUCUCUAAGUAUUUGCACGAAGCAACACACUUUUUUCUCUUAGGCGGUGACAGAACUAUUUUGCAAGUGAUAACUCGCCCAUCAUGAUUCCAAUCUUUAUAAAUUUAACACCCAAGCUAAAAAAAAACAACUCAAAAUUUCGAUUCUUUGAUUGUUUACUAUGCCGACAUUAAUCAACUGGUGAAUGCGUGAUCACUAAAUUUUGAUUGGAUGAAAUUUGUCAGACACGAUUUGUCUCCCUUGGGAAAACUUUCAAUAGUUCAAAAUCGGAAACAAAAUAUUUUUCGUGUAAAUUUUACUAAAAUCGUGUUUUUUGGCUAUUUUCACGAUCACGAUCGUGUAAUCGGGACAGAGGGUCAAAAUCGUGUAGUACACGCCUAAAUCGUGAAAGUUGGCAGGUAUGAUACCAUGAAGUAACUUUAGUAAGAGUAGAUCUUAGAAAUGGUUUGUCAUGGCUUAUAACAUGUAUAUUAUAUUUGCUAUACAAAGCAAGACAUUGUAAUAAGAUGAUGUCUGAUGUUAUGCAUUCAGCUGCAAUCAAAUUAUAAUAAUGAGCUCUCUUAGCUGUUUUUUGUUUUGUUUUGUUUUUUCUGGGGUUUUUUAUUUGUUGUCGAGCCUGCAACUUUUGUUGCAGAAAGCUCGACAUAGGGAUAGUGAUCCGGCGGCGGCGGCUACGGUGGCGGCGUUAGCUAACUUCUUAAAAGCUUUAUAUUUUAGAAGGUGGAAGACCUGGAUGCUUCAUACUUGUAUAUAGAUGCCUCAUGUUACGAAGUUUUCCGUCAGUUCACAUGUCCAAUGUCCUUGACCUCAUUUUCAUGGUUCAGUGACCACUUGAAAAAAAAGUUCAGAAUUUUUGUAAUGUUGAAUUCUCUCUUAUUAUAAGUAAUAGGAUAACUAUAUUUGGUAUGUGCGUACCUUGCAAGGUCCUCAUGCCCGUCAGACAGUUUUCACUUGACCUCGACCUCAUUUCAGGGAUCAGUGAACAAGGUUAAGUUUUGGUGGUCAAGUCCAUAUCUCAGAUACUUUAAGCAAUAGGGCUAGUAUAUUUGGUGUAUGGAAGGACUGGAAGGUUUACAUGUCCAACUGGCAGGUGUCAUCUGACCUUGACCUCAUUUUCAUGGUUCAGUGGUUAUAGCUAAGUUUUUGUGUUUUGGUCUGUUUUUCUCCUACUUUAUGCAAUAGGUCUACUAUAUUUGUUGUAUGGAAUGAUUGUAAGGUGUACAUGUCUAGCGGGCAGAUGUCAUCUGACCUUGACCUCAUUUUAAUGGUUCAGUGGUCAAAGUUAAGUGUUUAACCGGAUUUUUGUGACAAAAAUGUCGGUUAUUGAUUUGGGGAUGUACGGCCAGCGGCCGGGCAGUCGGGUGGGCGGUUGGCCGGGCUUUAAUCAAAUGUUGUCCGUGCAUUAACUCAUGAACUGUUCAACCAAAGCUUUUAAAAUUUUAAUAUGUUGUUACUGACAACUAAAUGAAGGUCAAGUUGAAUUAUGGCGAUUUUGACUUUUAUCGUUCAGGAGUUAUGGUUCUUGAAAGAUGGAAAAAUGGUUUUUCCAGUUGUGUCUGUGCAUUUACGCAUGAACUGUUCUACCAAAGCUUCCCAAAUUUUAAUAUGUUGUUACUGAUAACAAAAUGGAGGUCAAGUUCAAUAAUGACGAUUUUCACUUUUACCGUUCAGGAGUUAUGGUUCUUGAAAGAUUGAAAAAUGGAGUUUCCAGUCAUGUUCGUGUAUUUACACAUGAACUGUUCUACCAAAGCUUCCAAAUUUUAAUAUGUUGUUACUGAUGACAAAAUGGAGGUCAAGAUUAAUAAUGACGAUUUUGACUCUUACCGUUCAGAGAGUUAUGGUUCUUGAAAGAUUGAAAAAUGGAGUUUCCAGUCGUGUCUGUGUAUUUACACAUGAACUGUUCUACCAAAGCUUCCCAAAUUUUAAUAUGUUGUUACUGAUGACAAAAUGGAGGUCAAGAUUAAUAAUGACGAUUUUGACUCUUACCGUUCAGGAGUUAUGGUUCUUGAAAGAUUGAAAAAUGGAGUUUCCAGUCGUGUCCGUGUAUUUACACAUGAACUGUUCUACCAAAGCUUCCCAAAUUUUAAUAUGUUGUUACUGAUGACAAAAUGGAGGUCAAGAUUAAUAAUGACGAUUUUGACUUUUACCUUUCAGGAGUUAUGGUUCUUGAAAGAUCGUAAAAUGGCGUUUCCAUUCACUUUAUUGCAUUUACUGAUGAACCAUUCAAUCUAAACUUUUCAAAUUUUAAUAUGUUGAUACUGAUGACAAAAUGGAGGUCAAAUUUGAUAUUGACGAUUUUCACUUUCACCAUUCAUCAGUAAUGGUUCUUGUGAUAUUGCCAGGACACAAAUAAAUGUUAAUAAAUCCGGUUUGCUGUCGUUGUGACAGCCUCUUGUUAAGUUUUAAUCUUUUUAUCUAAUAUUAUAUGCCAAAGGUCAACUAUAUUUGGUGUAUGGAAAUAUAUUAUGAUCUAUAUGUCAGUCCCGCAGGUUUUAUUUGACCAUGACCUCAAUUGCACGGUUCAUUGCACAGUGUUAAGUUUUGUGUUUUUGGUCUAUUUUUCUUAAACUAUAAGUAAUAGGUCAACUAUAUUUGUUGUAUGGAAGCUUUGUUAGCUGUACAUGUCUGCCUGGCAUGGUUCAUAUGACCUUCACCUCAUUUUCAUGGUUCAUUGGUCUUUGUUUAGCUAUCUUGGUUAAUGUUAAGUUUAUGUGACAGUUGUAAUAAAGCUUUAUAGGCGAGACAUUUCAGUGUGUGCACUCUUGUUUUUCUUGGGGGUGAGUGGGAGGUUUUGUAGCAAUAUCUUCAUGAAAUAUGUCAAUGUUCCUUUUUAGCUCACCUGGCCAAAAGGCCAAGUGAGCUUUUCUCAUCACUUGGCGUCCGGCGUCCGUCGUCCGUCGUCGUCGUCGUCCGUCGUCGUCCUGCGUUAACUUUUACAAAAAUCUUCUCCUCUGAAACUACUGGGCCAAAUUUAACCAAACUUGGCCACAAUCAUCAUUGGGGUAUCUAGUUUAAAAAUUGUGUCCGGUGACCCGGCCAACCAACCAAGAUGGCCACCAUGGCUAAAAAUAAAACAUAGGGGUAAAAUGCAGUUUUUGGCUUAUAACUCAAAAACUAAAGCAUUUAGAGCAAAUCUGACAUAGGUAAUAUUGUUCAUCAGGUCAAGAUCUAUCUGCUCUGAAAUUUUCAGAUGAAUCGGACAUUCCGUUGUUGGGUUGCUGCCCCUGAAAUGGUAAUUUUAAGGAAAUUUUGCUGUUUUUGGUUAUUAUCUUGAAUAUUAUUAUAGAUAGAGAUAAACUGUAAAUAGCAAUAAUGUUCAUCAAAGUAAGAUCUACAAAUAAGUCCACAUGACCAAAAUGGUCAGUUGACCACUUUAGGAGUUAUUGCCCUUUAUAGUCAAUUUUUAACCAUUUUUCCUAACUCUUAGUAAUCUUUUAGAAAAAUCUUCUCCUCUGAAACUACUGGACCAAAUUUAACCAAACUUGGCCAUAAUCAUCAUUGGGGUAUUUAGUUUAAAAAAUGUGUCCGGUAACUCGGCCAACAAACCAAGAUGGCUGCCAUGGCUAAAAAUAGAACAUAGGGGUAAAAUGCAGUUUUUGGCUUAUAACUCAAAAACCAAAGCAUUAAGAGCAAAUCUGACAGGAUGUAAAAUUGUUGAUCAGGUCACGAUCUAUCUGCCCUGGAAUUUUCAGAUGAAUCUGAUAAUCGGUUGUUAGGUUGCUGCCCCUGAAUUGGUAAUUUUGAGGAAAUUUUGCUGUUUUUUUGUUAUUAUCUUGAAUAUUAUUAUAGAUAGAGAUAAACUGUAAACAGCAAUAAUGUACAGCAAAGUAAGAACUAAAAAUAAGUCAGUAUGACCAAAAUAGUCAAUUGACUCCCUAAGGAGUUAUUGCCCUUCAUAGUCAAUUUUUAACAAUUUUCUUAAAAUUUAAAGAUUUUCAAUUACAUUUUCCACAGAAAGUACUGUUAUAGAUAGAGAUAAUUGUAAGCAGCAAAACCAAAACACAAUUUUGUCAUGAAUUCAUCUGUGUACAUUGUUAAAAUUCACAUAGACCAAGGUGAGCGACACAGGCUCUUUAGAGCCUCUAGUUUGUUAUAGAAAAUGCAUCCUCAUAUAGUUGGUGCUGCCAAGUUUGGACAAGAUGAAGUUUAUAGGACAUGGAAAUCCUUUGCAGUUAAACAGAGGUAAUUAAUUGUGUUAUGCUCUUCAUUAUGGCAUAUAUCAUGGUAUACCACUGAGCAUCUGUCAGUCAGUGAGAAAAACUACAAGUAAGUCAAUCUGACUGAAAUUAUAGGUGUUAUUUCCUUUGAUGGCUGAUUUUUACCUCUUUUACAUUUUUCCUGGAAAUUAUUGAAAAUAUUCUGAUUGCAAUUUAUAAGUUUCAUGCUAAAAUUCCAGGUGAGAAACGCAGGUUUCUUGGAUCAUUUAGUUUAGAAAUAAGCAUACACAAAUAUUUAUUUGUCCAUUUAAAUGAUUUGUACAUUGCUGUAUUAAAAUCAGGAAUAAUAAUCAUGAGCAGUUUUUAAUAGAACCUUUAAAAGCAGAAAUGUUUUUAACUUGAACUUUUUAAUUGAGUUAGAACAGAAAAGAAAAUUCAGUGAUGAUCAUUUACAAUGAUAGUACUGUCAAAUGGUUGAGUGCAAUUUUGAAACUUAAAAUGAAUAUAUAUUUUUAUUAUUUAGACUAACAUUGACUAUAAAUUAUUAAAUGCUUGUUCUUUUCCAGACAUCCAUUAUACUUCGUGAAAACAGACAUCAGUAGCUGUUAUGAUGAAAUAUUACAACAGAAACUUUUCUGCAUUGUCAAGAAUAUUUUCAAUAAUGUAAGUAUAAUACUGAAGAUGCAUACAAACUACUUAUUGAAGAAAUUCUAUCUAUUCUAACUCUUUUUGCAGAGUAAUAAUACUCUAAAAAGUAGUUCUAAUGAAUUGAACAUGCUUGAAAAAAUGUUAUGAAAAUUUGCUUAGCCACGAUAUUUUUAUCCCCCUGCAUGGUAUAUUGAACCCCAUACUAGUGACCUCUAAUUUCAAAGAUUCUAGCUAUUCUCACUCCUUUACAUAGUAAUAAUACACCAAUAAGUAGUUUGUAUGUAUUUAAUAUGCUGGAAAAGAUGUUUUUAAAAUUUUAUUUAGCCAUGGUAUUUUGACACCCCCACCUAGCUUGCUGCCAUGGUAUAUUGAACCCCCUAUAGACCCCUUAUUUCAAAAGUUCUAGCAUUUCUAACUACUGUUCAUAGAAAUAAUACUCCAGUAAGUAGUUUGUAUGUAUUUAACAUGCUGAAAAAGAUGUUUUACUUAGCCGUGCUUUGUUGACCCCUAGUCAUGGUAUAUUGAAUCCCCUACAAUAGAUCUCUAAUUUAAAAAAAAAUUAGCUAUUCCCACUCCUUUACAUAGUAGUAAUACCUCCAAAAUUUUACUUAGCCCUGGUAUUUUGACCCCCUUCCCGGUUUUUACCAUGGGAAAUUUAACUCUCUUAAUAUGUUCCUAUUUCAAAUAAAGCAUUCAAGGUACAUGGCCUAGUCAUAAUGCAGGAUAUAUCCAACCAACCUUGCAUCCAUCUUUAACGCACACCAUUUCCCAAAAGCCAAUUUAUUUCUAGAAAAUUGAACAAAAAGCCAGUGUCAUCAUGAAUUAUUUAAGUUUUAUCAUCUCUUUUCACAUAAAAACAAGCAUAAGUAAUUUAUAUUUUGAUUGAAGUCGUGCCAGGUUCCAGCUGGUCUAGCUAUAGCUAUUAUACUCUCUGAUACUUUGUUGUCUGGUUGUGGAAUACUGUAAGUUUUAUCCCAGUUAAAGUAAGUCAUAGGGGAUCCAUCUUCAAAUGUCCAAGCCAGAUUUCCACUAAUACUAUUGGUUCCCUGUAUACAUAUGUGUAACCCUGAACCAUAUUGUGCUACUGUAAAAGAGUUAAACCACCAUAUUUAAAUGCAGAAAUUAAAUUGUAAGGUAAUAUAAACCAAAUAUUGUCAAUAGAAGUGUUCUAAAAAUAAAUUCUUGAAAAUUUCUUAUCCAUUUUCUGAACAUGCCUAAAUUUUUUGCCACCUAAUGUUAAGCAACCAUCAAUCAACCAAUCCAUCCAAAACUAGUUACUUUGGAUUCAUUAUUCGUGGAAUAUCAAUUUUUGUGGAUUCUGGGGUACAGGUAUUAAACCCAUGAAUUUUGAUGCAGCAUUGUUAAAAUCUACAAAAACAUAAUUUUACUUCAAUCUAAGAAAAUAAAUAUACAUGAACUUUAAUGAAUCCACCAUACUUGCAUUAUGUACAUUUGUCAAGAUCGUAAUCGCACUAUGUACAAAUAUCAGUUAUAAAUUUCACAGUUACAAUCAAAGAUAAGCCAUUUAAUGUAGACCUACCAAAAUCAGUAACUUCCAGUACAUAGCUAUUCUUCUCUGCAGAAUCAAUCCUUACUAGUUCCAGUCCAUCAGAGAAACAUGUUGGUUUAACUAUACCAUUGUAAUUCAUUUGGACUGUAUCAUGUAUUUUAUAACAUAAAUCUAAAUAUCUGUUGUACGUUAGACCGUUUGAUGAUGGACAUCUUCCAGAAGCUGUCGAAAUAUAUAUAGAUUCAAUAUUAAUUUUCCAAGUGAAUUAAGUGAUGGAAGUUAAUUGUUUUGCCAUGAUUUCCUGUUAGCAUCUUAUGUUAUUGUUAGUAGAUUACCAAUAUGUAUAUUUUAGUCUGAUUUAGAACCAAAUACAGCAAGUUAGUAAGUAAAUAGUAUUUUUAUAGUGUCACAAUUUAAUAAACAGUAAGCCAUGACAUGCACUACCAUACAUGUGAACCAAACGCACCUGUGUUAAAUUUUACCUGUAAAUCAAAGAAGAUGUAUAAUUAUAUGGCUUCACUUAUUAGCUUGGGUGUCAAACAUACUGGUAAUCAACGAUGUUUACCUCUGGCUUACUGCCGUUGUGUAAUAAAAACCUUGUGUAUUGGAAUAUUUUUUUGUUACUUCCCUUUGAUUUAUCCUGUUUUAAGCCCCCAUAACUUAUUUUGGAUUCUAAUAGGACAAAUACAGCAUUUUUUUUGGGUUCAAGCGCUCUAGGUGAAGGCAUUAUUUGCCAUGCCCAUAAAUAAACGCACUAAAAAAAGGAGCAAACUGAAUAAGUGUAUAGCUUUAACUAUUUAAAAUGACAUAUUAAGAUAGGUUUGGAUGAAUUUAAAUGAUAAUUUUACUUAAAUAUGUUAUAUGUUUACAAAAAUGGCUUAUAUAACACAUUUUAGCAUCGUUUGUUUACAUUUCCUUGCAGUGAUUAUUUUCGGUUUCACAAGCGUGUAUUUUCCUGUAAAAUGCUUAUAUUCUGACGUCAACGUUCUAUGACGUCGGGUAGCUCAUUCAUAAAAAAGCAUAUGACGUGGGAGUACGAUCGGAACAGCUCAAACAAUAUAUUCAUAUUUUACCACGGGUGUGUACUCAAAGCAUUUGAAGGACGUCAUGUUAGAAUUUGCUUUUAAAAAUGUAAAUUGUUAAUAGAAUAUGAAUGAAUAAUAUUUUAAUCAAAUAAUCAUAUAAGGAUGGUAAUUAAAUGAAUUUAAAUGUUUUGGGACAAAUAAAAAAAUAUGAAUUUAUAAAUUAUUUUAGAAAUCUAGACUUUUUUUCAAGGAUUAAAUUGAAAUUCAUAUAAUAAGUCUGAUCUACGAAAUUAAUUUUGGAAUAGACAUUGUUCUUCAUUCUAAACUGAAUAAAACUCUUCACAGUUAUACCUCUAACAAGGCCUUCAGUAUAUUAGAUACUCAGUCAUUCAGCUAUAAAUAGCAAAACAUUUCACACUAUUUGAGUCUUUUUAAAGUUUUCUAAAAAUAUGACUUUCAUAAUGCUGAAAGACCAUGCAAUACUAUUGAUAUUGUUUGUUAUUUUUUUUAUUAAUUUAUCAUGAUAUAAACAUACAUGUAUAGCAUAUUUCUUUCUUAUUUGUCUAUACAGUUACCAAUUCAAUGAUAAGGAGAUGGAGACAUAAAUACAAAUCUAUACACAAAGAAAAGGACAUAAUGAUUUAUUUGCAAGCAGUGAACAAUCAAUUAUCAAAAACAAAAAACAAAUUAAACAAGAAACAGAUUCUUCCAAAUAUUUUUUUUUUAAUAAUGUGAUAAUUCAUUCAAAUAGAAAGGCAACAAGGGUACUAUAAACAUAUUACAUUUUAAUGGAAAUUUGAUGGAAAAAAAAAACACUUUAAAAGGCAAUUUCUACAUCAUAUGGUUACAUUUACAACAAAAUUUAUGUCGAUAAAAAACCUCCUGAUCUGAGUUUCACAGUCCAUCACAUGUAUGCAGUCUGUCAUGUCAGCCAUCAUUUGAUUGGCUGGCAGUUUGAUCUUACAGUAACAUACAACAUAACAAGAAUAAAAUUAGACUUAUAUGCUAUAAAGAAUUAAAACACAGUAAAAAGGCAGUCAAAUAUUUUUAUAAUUUAUUAAGAAUCACAAUAUACAAUGGAUUUAUUAUUUUCGUUGGAUAUCAAUAUGGGAGGGUAAAGGUUAAACGCAAACAAAUUGCAAUUUUUGUGUAGGCUUUAAUGCAAACUUUGGCAUAUAUAUACCAUGACAAAUGGUAUUGAACACAGCAGUAGUGAAUAAACUUAAGUUCAGUAUUGAAAAUAUGCCAUUAACUCAUAAUUUCCUAGUGUGCAAAAAAUAUUGUAACUAGAAAAAAAUAAUAAAGUACAUAGAAAUUUGACGUGAUUUUAGUAUUAAAGUAUUCACUCACCAUCUUGUGUGUUGUAAAAUUUCCAGCCAAAUCCAGAUUUACUUGGUGACUUGUUCCAGAGUGAAUUCGGAUGUAGGAUGCAUUUCUGCUGGUUCUUAUUGAAAAAAAAUGACACACAUUUAGUAUUCUCCAUACAUUUCUGAAAGCACCAAAAAAGGUUUUCUAUUUCAAUAUAAUUUCCUAUAUUUCCUGUAAUUUCAUACUUGUUAUCAAAGCUUAAUUCACUGUUAGCUUUGAGAAUUAUUUUUGAGUGAACACAUAAUAAAUUUACGUUAGAAAUGAACAGUAAGCAUAUCAGUUUCAUAGUAUUGUUAGUGGACUGGUUUUUUUUUGUGAACAGAAGAACUUUUUAAAUAAUGAUACAGGUAAAUAUUUCCAAAUACUUCAACUCAACAAAUGUUGUAAAAUAGGACAUUUUGAUUAUAAUUGGUACAGUUAAUGAACUUUUCAAAGUUUAAGUCCAGUAAGAUUUUAAAUCUUUUGUUUAUACUUUUCUUCAUUUGUUUGCAUUGUAAACCUUUGUUGGUAACAGCUGUGAGGUUCCCAAACUUCAACACUAAGACAAAGCUUUGGAUAAAAUAUUGAAUCUAGAAAUUCUUUUGUCAAUGUUUUAAAUAAUAAAUGGUUAACUACUUUCCUGGUGGUAAUAUUACAAUAUAUAUUAAUUAGUAAAGUUGAUAAUUGUCCGGUCAAUAUCAAUGGAAAUUAGAAUAUGUGUGAAAUGAUAUUGAUACUUUCAUGGUUGAUCUAAAUGGCCUUAGAACACCAUUAAUGUUUAGAGUAUUUCUUUAAAAAAGCCAAUUGAAAUAAUAGCCACCUGCUCUUUCUCAAUAAGAUUUUAAAGUGUAGUGAACUACUUUUAGGACAAAUCAUUUCAAAAUUAUGAAAAACUUUUCAAAGUCAAAAAUAGGAUAAUCAUAUUUGAAGGGGUCUUGGUUAUAAUUUAACAAUUUCACUACUUGACCUCUAAGAAAAUAAGUGUGUUUACAUCCCUCUUCUUGUUAUUUAUAUUGCAUGAAAUAUGAAGAAAUAAAUGAAGGAUGGUUAUGAAAAAAAAUCUGCAGAUAAUAGAUAAAGUGUCCACACUAAGGACCAUUUAUUUGUAAGAAACUCAAAUUAAAAGGGUUACUUGGUAAUGGUCUUUUUUUUUUGUCAAUAUUUGCCCCUUUAUUUUAAAAGUAUAAAGAUACAUAUCUUAUCUUUUAUUGUACAUGUAAUGAUGAUUCAGUAUACCUCUAUCUCUAUGAAACCAGCCCUUAGCUGAUACUUUAAAUACAAGGAAUAAGCAAAAAAAAGUUGACUUUUGAUUAAGUAUUAGGGUAUUUUGACUAAUAUUUCUGUUGAUAAUGGCUUUAUACCGCAUGAUAAUAAGUUGUAAACUUUCAUUACCAAGUUAGAGCAUAUGAGCAAGGUUAGCAAUGUAGGCUGUCAGAGCAUAUGAGCUAGGUGAGCAGAGUAGGCUGUCAGAGAAUAUGAGCUAGGUGAGCAAAGUAGGCUGUCAGAGCAUAUGAGCUAGGUGAGCAAAGUAGGCUGUCAGAGUCUCUAAUUUGUCUAGUAAUUUUGUCUUACUUGUAUAAAGAUAUUAUACCUGUUUUCGUCUGUUUCAGCCAGAGAUCGUUGAAGAUGAUUUUAUCAUAAGAAGAUAUGUGAAGAUAGUGAAUGAAGGGGGAGUAAUUAAGAGGAAGUUUGUAAGAAAGGCUUUCCAGUUAGGAGACUAUAGGUCAGACUUUGUGAAGUUCCUCCGACAUCAGAAUGAAGAGGACAACUCACAUAACAUUGUCUUUGUUGACCAGGUGAGAAAUAAAAUGUUAUAUUCGAUUUGCCUCCAACAAUGUCCAAUUGACAAAGUCAGUUUUCAACCUUUAACCAAAUCAUAAUCUUUACAUAUUUUCUUGUGGAGUUUAUCCAUCCCUCUGUCAUCUUUUAAAAAGAAAAGGUGGGAAAUGGAAUAUCCACUCUACUUCAACAGGUAGCAAUAAAGUUAGGGGACCAUGACAUUCAUUUUACUAAUUAAUGACUGUGAUUAAGUUUUGAAUUAAGGGGUAAAAAUUUGCUUUAAAAUGGCUGUUCUAUUUAAAAUUUAUCUUAUAUGUAGAGAUUAUAUUAUAAGAUCCAUGGUAAAGAUACUCUAAUUUAGUAACACAAAAAGUGAACCUGUUGCCAUAUCAGGGCUGCCAAGAUUUGAGGCUAACACAUGUUCAUGCUUAUUUUAAAGCAUUUCCUUUGAUCUUUACAAUUUUGGCCAAAUUUAACGCAUUUGCUUCCUGAAAAGUAGGCAGAACUCAUUCGAAUAUUAGAUUGUAGUAAAGUCUAGUCAUCAUUUUGAAACCACUGAUUUUUAACCAGAUUUUUGUGACAAAAAUGUCAGUUAUUGAUUUGGGGAUGUACGGCGGGUGGGCGGGCAGCAACCAAAUGUUGUCUGUGCAUUUCUCAUGAACCGUUCCACCAGAGCUUUUAAAAUUUUAAUAUGUUGUUACUGACAACAAAAUGAAGGUCAAGUUCAAUAAUGACGAUUUUGACUUUUACUGUUCAGGAGUUAUGGUUCUUAAAAGAUUGAAAAAUGGGGUUUCCAGUCGUGUCCGUGCAUUUACUCAUGAACUGUUCAACCAAAGCUUUUCAAAUUUUAAUAUGUUGUUACUGAUGACAAGUUGGAGGUCAAGUUCAAUAAUGUCGAUUUUGAAUUUUACUGUUCAGGAGUUAUGGUUCUUGAAAGAUUGAAAAAUGGUGUUUCCAUUCAUUAUGUUGCAUUUACUCAUGAACCAUUCAACCUAAGAUUUUCAAAUUUUAAUAUGUUGAUACUGAUGACAAAAUGGAGGUCAAAUUUGAUAUUGACGAUUUUCACUUUCACCGUUCAUCAGUUAUGGUUCUUGUGAUAUUGGCAGGACACAAAUAAAUGUUAAUAAUUCUGGUUUGCUGUCGUUGUGACAGCCCCUUGUUUAUAUAUCUCGUAGCUAGUGCCCCUCUAAGUUCAAUCAUGUUACUUGUUAAUUAUAACAUUUUAUUCAAAUUUGUAUGUUUUAGGUUGUGACCCAGCAAGAAACUAGAGAAUGGUUACUUAAACAACUACAUUGUCAUAUUUUCCAUAAUAUCAUUAAGGUAAAAUUACUAAGUAUAAAUCAAAUGUGGCUGUCAUUAAACUUUAGGUUAAAGAUUGCAUAAAAGUUAAAGUUUAGUCAGGUUUAAAGUUAGACUUAAAAUAAGUGUGAAAUUAUUUGUUUUUUAAAAAAGAUUGAUAAUUAGAACGAGCUUCACUGUUUACAUAUUACUCAGAAAAAAUUAUUCAGAGAAUACUUUAUUUUGAUUGGUUAGAAUGUUACCUGGAUACUGGACGCACACAUAUAUUUCUUUGUUUCAGGAUUCACAACAUAUUUGAAAUUUAUUGCUGGGAUUUCGUAGGUAUAGGCGAAACACAAUGUUAAAAGUUCAAAAAAUGAUAAAUUUCCUUGCAGGCUUCGUCAAAACCACAAAAUUAAAUGUCAAAGAACAUGAAAGUUUUCCUCAAUCCAUGAAAAUUGGUGCCAUUGAUAAUAAAUGAAUCUACAGUAUACAUACAUACUGCUUGAAGAUCUUUUAACUGUUAUUUAUGUUCUAAUCUAUUGAAAUUAGUAGACUUUUGACAAUUAAAAGGUGAUAUAUCUUUGACAGAUUGGGAAGACAUACUAUAAGCAAACUAAAGGAAUCAGUCAAGGAUCAGUAAUAUCAACCCUCUUGUGUAACAUGUACUAUGGUGAGAUGGAGAGACAGUUACCUGUCUGUGAAGGGGAGGUAAUGAUGAGAAUCGUGGACGAUGCAUUGUUUGUUACUCCAUCAAAGGAGAGAGCUUUCAAUUAUUAUCACAAAAUGAUAAAUGGUAAGUUUUUAAAGACAAGGGCAAAAGUUGUCAAACAAGAGAGAGUGAUUUCUAUUUCAAUAGAAUGCAUGUCUUUGUAUUACUUAAAAACUGUGUAUAAUUAAUAAUUGGGAUUUAUUCAAAUGGAACUCUUUUUUGGCAAGGUGUCUGACCUUGAACCAUUCAACAAAGUUCCAUAUAUUUAAUCAAAAGAGUAUUUUUGAUUAUCCAAAAAUUCAAAUCUACAAACAUUUAAGGAUAAUAUAUGAAAAGGCAACUUUUUUGGUCCCUUGAAAUCAUACAAGAGGCACAUAGAAACUCUGGGCUUCAUCCGUCUUUGGCUCUCACAGCUACAUCGCAGGACAAAUUCUAUAAUGUUAGCCAUUCGACUUUUUAUAAAAGAGUUAUGCCCCAUUGUAAAUAUUAAAUUUCAGGAAAAAUUCUAGUAAAUAGUAUUGGAAAAAAAAGAACUUAUCUGAUUACUUUUGUGGAUUCAUAAAAACAAGUUCAUGGAUAUCAUUUAGCCGAAGUAGAAGUCUUUUAUAAACUUGAAGAAUAUAAUUUAAUAUGAAUAUUUCUUUUGUAGGAAUACCAGAUUUUAUCUUUUCAAUCAACGAAAGUAAGGUCCAAACAAAUUUCAAUGUUUCUGAGUUCACAGAGGGGGUAACAGUACUGCAAAAUACAGGUAUUUCAUGUUGUUAUUUACAAUAA
rnacentral:sRNA from 1 species